GACGAACGCUGGCGGCGUGCUUAACACAUGCAAGUCGAACGAAGUGGCGAACGGGUGAGUAACGCGUAAUCAACCUGCCCUUCAGAGGGGGACAACAGUGGGAAACGAAUGCUAAUACCGCAUACUGAAGGAGGGGAUUGCGUCUGAUUUGCUUGUCGGGGGGGUAACGGCCCACCAAGGCGAUGAUCAGUAGCCGGGUUGAGGGGAUGGACGGCAAAAUUGGGACCUGGACACGGCCCAGACUUCUACGGGAGGCAGCAGUGGGGAAUCUUCCGGCAUGGACGGAAGUCUGGCGGAGCAACGCCGCGUGGUUGGUGACGGCCUUCGGGUUGUAAAGCUCUGUUAAGCGGGACGCGGUACCGGAAUAGAAAGCCACGGCUAACUACGUGCCAGCCGCCGCGGUAAUAC
rnacentral:rRNA from 1 species